CGGGGCUGGCCCGAGCCCCGGCACGACGGGUACAGCUGCUCCUUGCAGGCUGCCCGCGCCUCGUACAUCGCCUCAUGCUGGAAGGAGCUCUCCCGGUGCCUCUGGCUGCCGUAGUAUUCCGGCGAGUGAUUGGGAAGCUGCGGAAGGAGCGAUUGUCCCGUGCCUGACGUGUGCCAUGGAAGCGCGAGCAAGGAUGAAAAAUGCCCAGGAAAAUGAAAAUCCCCGCCUACCUGCACGGAAUAAUCCCAGCGCAAGCACAGAGGGAGAGGGGAGAGAGCCCAGCCCGCAUCUCCAGAGCCCCGAAAAUCAAUUAUUUCUCGGGAAAUUCACCAAAUCUACAGAAGAAACACCGAGAUCUCCAACGGAUCGGCCGGGCCAAAGAAAAGGAGAGAAAUAGGCUCGAACAACGAAGGUAAAAAUAUCCACAGACGAAAGAGCAUCGCGAGGAGAAAAGAACCACAGAGGCUGCAGGGAGGACGGAGGAAUAAUAAUAAUAAUAAUAAUAAUUCAUAUUCUGUACAGGACUCUACGCGCUAAAUGGAAUUUGCAUUCGGGCUUUCGGGUCACAUUUCCUAAAUUAAAGGUGCUAAACACGACCACGUUACUUCAUAACCCCCCGAAAAAAACAAAAAACAACCCAAAACGCAAACCCCGGUGCACAGCGAGGUACAAACGACAGCGAUUUACAAACCACUGCUGCUAGAGGAAGGCUCACACAGGAAAAAACGUCUCUAUCCUGACUCUAAAGCCACAUGGAAUAGGUAGAUAUUCUAUCGUACAAAAAGGAAAAAAAACC